GCAGCUAUCAACAAUAGACUGUGCUAAAGAGCUAUCAACACGAUGUUUCUCCUACACGAUGAAGUUUUGAAGCUGUGUCACAAUCCAUCCCCUGAAUGUUGGCACAGGAUACUGAAGCAUCACACUUAAAUAACUCCUAGUGAGACUGGACCCUUGUUGAGCGUCAACCCCCCAGACAGAGCCUCUGCAGGAAAAAGCAGCUGUGAUGAAUUUCUAAAAAACUUCAGAGGGAUGAUGAUCCACGCUUGUCAUGCCAUUCCAGCCUCCAGUGAGAUCUGAAAUUACUUACGAGGCAUUUUUGAAAGUGGAUCUGGAGUCUAUAAACACCAAUUGAUUUAUUGAGAAUGAAUGGUGAAAAGAACUAUGUAGCUGUUGUAAAUGUCUGCAAGUUGAAAGCUGUUGCAAUAACCAAGGUCAGAGACUCAUGUCUUGUUUUGGAAAGCUACACUGACAAUGUAUGCACUCGUGACAAUGUAAGACUCUUCAGAGAGAAGAUUCGGGCCAAAUUACAAAUGCAUGAUGACAUACAUACCAUAGCUUGUUCCCAUACUACAGAUGUAAUAUACCCACAGUGACAACUUUAUGCAACAUUCAUUCCAGGCUGCAUUCAAAGAUUUUCCAUCGGCUUGGCCUGAAUGACUUCAUGAGUGAGGAUGAAUGGUAAUCUUAUGAGGUGUUAGGUUAGGGACAGAGGCCUACCUCACUACCCUCAAACAUGCCCAGACAGACUCAGUGGGGCUCAGUACUGUUAUUCUAAA